rnacentral:rRNA from 1 species
UACGUAGGGGGCAAGCGUUGUCCGGAUUUAUUGGGCGUAAAGAGCGUGUAGGCGGCCAUACAGGUCCGUUGUGAAAACUCGGGGCUCAACCCCGAGCCUGCAGUCGAUACGGGCAAACUAGAGUGUGCUAGGGGAGACUGGAAUUCCUGGUGUAGCGGUGAAAUGCGCAGAUAUCAGGAGGAACACCGGCGGCGAAGGCGGGUCUCUGGGGCAUGAACUGACGCUGGAGGAGCGAAAGCGUGGGGAGGCGAACAGGA